rnacentral:lncRNA from 1 species
GAUUGCAAGGUAUGCUCUUAAGAAAUUGCUUGGUCUGAGUAUGCUAGCUUCCUAUCCAUUUCUUGUUAGAAGAGAAAAUAGAGUAUUUUGUUACUGCUACCAGAUAAACAGCUUGGAAGAAAACCUGUUUAAGUAUCUCAGCUCCUCAAGUGUGAGAGAGUAUGGUGACGUUCUCGUUAAUCAUUCAGAAUCAUGGAAGUAAGAUGUGCAUCCAAUUUAAGGAAGUAGAGCGAUUUUGUUAGUUUGAUCCGUACCUAGAGAAGUGUCGGUCUGCAGCUGCUCCCAUGACAAACUCAGUUACGUUAUUAAGAGAGAUGAGCUCCUCAAGUCCUUCAGCUACAUCAUCCGUCUUGAUUAUUA